GUAACGGUACAUUUUGAUUCCGCUAAAGGAACAGUGAGUUCCCUUGUUUCCUCGGGAACAGAAGAUAGUGCUGAACGCGAACCAAUGAUCUCCAAUGCAAAUAGGGUGUCAGAUACCGAUGAGUUGGAGGACGAGGAAGAGAAAGACGGCGCAUGCGCCAACUGUAACACCGGUUCGUUCUGCGCGGCGUCAUUCCUGGCUAUCGUGGUCAUUAUUCUAAUUACCGUCUUCACAUUCUUCCUUACGUAAUGGAAGUUUCAAAAUUUAUAUCAUGAUCUGUUGUUUUUGCAAAAUCUAUACAUUCUGGCUUAUUUUCGUAUAAUUUUUAUUUUUGGGGGAAAAUUAUCUUCAGUUUGUUAUAUUUACUGAUUUAGCAGUCUCUGAUUCAUUUUGUUCACUGUUAUUAAUUUUACCAGAAUUCCCGCUGUUGCUACAUGAAUAUUUUAUAACUGU
rnacentral:misc_RNA from 1 species